AAACAGCUAUAGUGUUCAGCAAAGUCAGAUCUACAAAUAAGUCAACAUGACCAUAAUGGUCAAUUGACUCCAUAUGGCUCUAACCAUUGAGGAAUUAGGGGCAAAAAAGGGAGAACAACUAGAUUUGUCUGGUUAAAGGACAAUAAAGACAAUUUAAAAGCAUUGUAAGGGAGGUAAUCCAAAUACAUUAAAAUACAAUGGUGUUUAUGUUUGGAUUUACCUCCCUUUCACUACUUGUACAAAAAGAAUAAAGCAAUGCUAGGUUUUGGACUAUUUGCCAAAAAGGAGAGGGGUUUGUAGUGGGGG
rnacentral:lncRNA from 1 species